UACGAAGGGGGCUAGCGUUGCUCGGAAUCACUGGGCGUAAAGGGUGCGUAGGCGGGUUUUUAAGUCAGGGGUGAAAUCCUGGAGCUCAACUCCAGAACUGCCUUUGAUACUGGCGAGCUUGAGUUCGGGAGAGGUGAGUGGAACUGCGAGUGUAGAGGUGAAAUUCGUAGAUAUUCGCAAGAACACCAGUGGCGAAGGCGGCUCACUGGCCCGAUACUGACGCUGAGGUGCGAAAGCGUGGGGAGCAAACAGG
rnacentral:rRNA from 1 species